UAGCAGGGGGGGCAAGCGUUGUUCGGAAUUACUGGGCGUAAAGGGUUCGUAGGUGGCCACUUAAGUCAGACGUGAAAUCCCUCAGCUUAACUGGGGAACUGCGUCUGAUACUGAGUGGCUUGAGUGCAGGAGAGGAAUGCGGAAUUCCAGGUGUAGCGGUGAAAUGCGUAGAUAUCUGGAGGAACACCGGUGGCGAAGGCGGCAUCCUGGACCAAUAUUGACGCUGAGGAGCGAAAGCCAGGGGAGCAAACGGG
rnacentral:rRNA from 1 species